CUUUGGACCCUGCUCUGGAGUGUUGAGAAACUGAUGAUCACUUUGUGCUGUGUGCCCCACAAGACCCCGCAGUGAGACAGCGGGAACUGUGUGCUCAAGGACACCUAAUGGAGUUUGGCCAAGGGUCCCCCUGAUCCUCCAAAUUAUGUGGCAUUUCAAG